GUCGCUGUUUAGUUUUUACACGUAAUGAGAUUUGUUUCUUCGUCUCUUUUCUAAUUUAAAUGAGUGAUCAGGUGGACUGGGGGAGGAGGAGGAGGUCGAGGGGCCGUGAGGAGGCCUGGUCGUCAGGGUCUCUGGUCCACGCGCCGCAACCGGUCGAUGGCGCUUUGUGCUUUGAUCUCUCGUCUUCAUCGUUUUGGUUUUUUUGCUCCAUCGCUCUGAUUUGGAUCCGAAAGGUCGUGCACACAAGGACGCCAGUGGUGGAAGAACUCGGAUGUUUCACUCAGGACUGAUUCUCCGUCCGGUGCGUGGGAGCAGUUUGCAGUUUGCAGUUUCCUCCUCCUCCUCCUCCUCCUCCUCAUUUCUCCUGCAAACUCCCAAACUCCUCCUCGGCUCCACAGACACAGUGGCGGUGACAAGCAGAGAUGAAGUGUCGUCACCUACAUUCUCCCCUAGACACGAAUUUGUGGCGGCUGCUGUAUUUACACAAAUUCGGAUCUACAGGGUUCAUAUAGAUGACACGUCGUGCAGCGUCUGCACGUGCACAGAGGAAGAAUGCAAGAAGCUUCUCAUCAUCAAAACACCAAAAGAACAAGAGACUCACAGGAAUCAGAGGUUUUUAUACAACUUCUUUAUAUGUUAGCCUUUUUUAUUUUAUUUGACUAUGGACAUUUGCAGUUAAAAGUAAAAGAUGGUACCACUUUUUUUCUAACAAGCAUCAAGUUUGUUGUUAUAAAGGUUAAUAAGUUGUUAAAAGUCGUUAUAAACGUUAUUAGGUUAUUAU